ACGGCUCACUCAAGAGCCAACCCUCACAAACCUUCCUAAAAACUAAAAGAGCUAUUACUGAGUCUCAGCGAAUCUUGCCAUGAUCAGCUCUUCCCAGAAGAGAAGGAAGACCAAGGAAAUGAUUUGCUCAGGAUGAGAAAUGAAGAUGGCCAUCUUGUGCUCAAACAAACAGAAGUCCUCUGAUGAUCUCAUCAGCCAAAUGAGGGGUUUUGACCAAGUGAUGCUCUUGAAAG